AAAGCACAGGUGCAGAAGAUCUGAAAACUGAACAAGAGUUACCAUACCAUUCUGUCCAGAAGACAGCGAUUCUCCAGUUAAACCUUCAUGCCAUCCUCUCUAGAAGUUCCUUCUGAAGCAACACGGACACCUCAGGGAAUACAGGAAAUGCCACAGCGCAUCUCGGGAACCCGAUCCGCGGGUCAGAGAGAGCUGCGCGGCCCGAGGCGGCUGGUCUUGUGGGUUUGUCAGCGCUGCCGUGACUGUCCUUGGCCUCGUGACAAAUUCACAUUAUAAAAAGAAAAAUCACAGGUUUGGAAUGGCAUCA